rnacentral:rRNA from 1 species
AGCAGGCGCGCAAAUUACCCAAUCGCAAUACGCGGAGGUAGUGACAAUAAAUAACAAUACAGGUCCCGACAAGGGACUUGUAAUUGGAAUGAGUACAAUUUAAACCCCUUAACAAGGAACAAUUGGAGGACAAGUCUGGUGCCAGCACCCGCGGUAAUUCCAGCUCCAAUAGCGUAUAUUAAAGUUGUUGCAGUUAAAAAGCUCGUAGUUGGAUUUUGGAAGUUCAUGGAUGUCGGGUGGGAUCUGGGGGGAUUGGUUUUCUGAUUUCUCUGGGUUUCAUUUGCUCCAUGUUCUCUGGAAUCAAGAUAGGGGUGGCAACAUUCCUAUCUCCAGGGAAAUGGGAACCGGUCUGCUUGGGCUUUUACGGGUUCAAGUGUGUACUGUUCUCAGGCUUCUUCUUUUGGGUCAGUCCAUUUCUGCUCUUAAGUGAGUGGGAGUGAGGCUCCCAAUCGUUUACUUUGAAAAAAUUAGAGUGUUUAAAGCAGGCUUUUAUGCCUUGAAUACAUUAGCAUGGGAUAACGGAACACGGCGGGAGACUUGUUUCGUUGGUUUAAAAAAGGGGGGGGAAACCUUCCCUUGAGUCUCAAGCAAUGAUUAAUAGAAAUAGUUGGGGACAUUUAUAUUCCAUGGCUAGAGGUGAAAUUCUUGGAUUCAUGGAAGAUAAACUAAUGCGAAAGCAUCUGUCAAGGAUGUUUUCAUUAAUCAAGAACGAAAGUUAGGGGAUCGAAGACGAUCAGAUACCGUCGUAGUCUUAACUAUAAACGAUGCCGACCAGGGAUUGGGAGACGUUACGUGGAUGACUCCCCCAGCACCUUGAGAGAAAUCAUGAGUCUUUGGGUUCCGGGGGGAGUAUGGUCGCAAGGCUGAAACUUAAAGGAAUUGACGGAAGGGCACCACCAGGAGUGGAGCCUGCGGCUUAAUUUGACUCAACACGGGGAAACUCACCAGGUCCAGACAUAGUAAGGAUUGACAGAUUGAUAGCUCUUUCUUGAUUCUAUGGGUGGUGGUGCAUGGUCGUUCUUAGUUGGUGGAGUGAUUUGUCUGGUUAAUUCCGAUAACGAACGAGACCUCAGCCUGCUAAAUAGUAAAGUGAAUCUUCUAAAUGGGUGAAGGGGGGGAGUGUUGAGGUGGUCCUCGUGGCCAUUUCGCCUCUUUGGAUCCUUGAAGCAUUUACUUUUUUUUUAAAUAGAGUUAAACUCUUUUACUUCUUAGAGGGACAAUUCAUAUUGUAGUGAAUGGAAGUUUGAGGCAAUAACAGGUCUGUGAUGCCCUUAGAUGUUCUGGGCUGCACGCGCGCUACAAUGACUAAUUCAACGAGUAAUUCACCUUGAUCGAAAGGUCUGGGUAAUCUUGCAAAAUUAGUCGUGCUGGGGAUAGACUAUUGUAAUUAUUAGUCUUCAACGAGGAAUUCCUAGUAAGUGCAGGUCAUCAACCUGCGCUGAUUACGUCCCUGCCCUUUGUACACACCGCCCGUCGCUCCUACCGAUUGAACGAUCCGGUGAAAUCUUGGGAUUGAGGGGUAUGCCUUGGGGCAACUCAAGUGCGACUCUUUAAGAACUUGCUUAAACCUUAU